rnacentral:rRNA from 1 species
UAGAGUUUGAUCCUGGCUCAGAUUGAACGCUGGCGGCAGGCCUAACACAUGCAAGUCGAGCGGCAGCGGGAAAGUAGCUUGCUACUUUUGCCGGCGAGCGGCGGACGGGUGAGUAAUGCCUGGGAAAUUGCCCAGUCGAGGGGGAUAACAGUUGGAAACGACUGCUAAUACCGCAUACGCCCUACGGGGGAAAGCAGGGGACCUUCGGGCCUUGCGCGAUUGGAUAUGCCCAGGUGGGAUUAGCUAGUUGGUGAGGUAAUGGCUCACCAAGGCGACGAUCCCUAGCUGGUCUGAGAGGAUGAUCAGCCACACUGGAACUGAGACACGGUCCAGACUCCUACGGGAGGCAGCAGUGGGGAAUAUUGCACAAUGGGGGAAACCCUGAUGCAGCCAUGCCGCGUGUGUGAAGAAGGCCUUCGGGUUGUAAAGCACUUUCAGCGAGGAGGAAAGGUUGAUGCCUAAUACGUAUCAACUGUGACGUUACUCGCAGAAGAAGCACCGGCUAACUCCGUGCCAGCAGCCGCGGUAAU